UGCCAUGUAUUAUUGUCUAUGUUGUGCCCU
rnacentral:piRNA from 2 species